rnacentral:lncRNA from 1 species
AGAAAUGGGAAGGGAAAUUUUUUGUGGAACAAAAUAGGUAAGUGUUUGUGUAGUGAAGAAAAUUCCCCAAAAUCAUACCAGCGUUUUGCCCUGCUUGCUACACUGGUGUCAACUUGGAGUACCGUCAACUUAUGAUAACCAUGUAUAUUCAUGACAAACAAGAGCAGGCAGCGUUUGGAAGCAGUGCAAAAUUUCUUCAACGAUCAUAUGAGAACAAAGUUGAUAGUAGAUAAUCAGAUAUAAAUUUUUAAGAAAAGGAAAGAAGAAAUGAAGCAUUUACAAAAACUCUAUAGCUAAGUGGAAAAACAGCUUGUUUGUUGAAGUAUCUCAUCAAAACAUAUUGCAGAACUCUAUAUUGUAAUGCCAUCCACUUUGUGAUAUUUGUAACUAUUAAGUGAGCAUACAGCUUCUGUGUUGAAGUAUCUUACCAAAAAUUCAAACCUGAUAACAACCAAAUCAGUGGGAUCUUUCUGAAGUUCCAAAAAUGAGGAAUAUAUUGCAUAUAUGGAAUUGUCAAAAUGUAACUGAUAAAAUGCCUCUGAUAAGUAUCUGAUCUGCAUUUAAUAAAACAACAGAAAGAUAGAAAUUCAAUUUUAGGGAGAAACAAAUGGAAUUAUGCUUUUAACCGCGUCGACUGUCAUAACAGAAAAAAACUAACGACAAUAAAUUAAGCAAUAAGGACUGGGUAAUUCAACUAUGAGUGUUCUGUUACCAUCUGAUCAAACCUAAUCUGUCACAUGGCCCAAGUCCAGGAACAAACAGCGUACAAUAAAUUAAGCAAUAAGGACUGGGUAAUUCAACUAUGAGUGUUCUGUUACCAUCUGAUCAAACCUUAUCUGUCACAUGGCCCAAGUCCAGGAACAAACAGCGUAUUCUAUUGACCACUAUUUCCAGAACAUAGAAGCAACAAUAAGAAUAUUGAAGGCCAAUGAAACAAAAUUUCAAUAGACUCGCACCUUCCUCCAGUUCCAAACUCUCUAUCCCAAGCCCUGACAACACCCUCCAUACUGCCCACCCCACUUCCGAAAAGCCUCAUCUGUUUUCCGCCAAAAUCACACUAGCAUUAACUAACGUAAAUAAUGAUAAGAUUUACUUAUAUGGAAAAGAACAGUGAUUUUCUUCUGAUUUAAGCUUUUCAAUCAUUUCACAUUUCCAUGCUAGCUAGCAGGUACUAAAACAAGAAUAGCUGGA